rnacentral:misc_RNA from 1 species
AUAAAAAAAAAAAAAAAGAAAAAAUAUUUUUAAUUUAAUGACUAAAAAUAUAUGACGCUUUUGAUUAAUUCAGAUUCGCGUCAAUCAUUGGCGGUGCACUCCAAUCUCAAAAAGCAACAUCUUAUGGCUGAGAUUUCCUACAUUACGCGUAACGUGAAGCUUCCUCCGUUGUCAUUUACCCUGCCAGCAUCUACAUGGAAAGUGCCAAUCAUCAAAUCGUUGAUGCUACCGAUCACCCUUGAAAUUAAUUGAUUCAAUGACAAUUUUUACACCGUAAUAAUACCUGUGUAUUUCUUUCGCUAAUGAGCGUAGAUUUUUCCUUUAUUCCAAGCCAAGAAUCACUCUCCCUUUCCACUUCUCAUAAACUUUUGGUCCCAUUUCGAUCUUUAUCUUCUUUCUCUGUUAUCAAGGCUUUCCUAGCCUUUUCGACAAUGAAGGUUCACCCAUCUCCAAAGAAAAGGGAUCUCACCGCCUCCCAAAAUGGUGUGGCUUUUUCCACCACCGCCGGCAACCCAAUCCCUAAGAAACUUAAGAGACUCCCUCACGUAUUUGCCAGAGUCCUGGAGCUUCCCUUCAACUCUGACGCCGAAGUUUUUGUCCAAGAAACUAAAGAAUGUUUCCGUUUCGUUGCCAACGGUGGGGACAUAACCAUAACUGACGAUUUUCAGGCUCAUGUGAUCGAGAUAUUACCUGGAGUGACAAAGAUCGCAAUAAGAGGAGCGCAGAGUGUCGAUCGCGCUUCGGUGGAGGAUCUCGACAUUGACAUGUGGCGUUUCAGGCUUCCGACGACGACUUUUCCGAAGAUGACUAGCGCGAGAUGUAUAGGCGGGCAGUUGGUUGUCACCGUUCCGAAAACCCUGAAUUUCGAAGAUGACGACAACUAUGGUAAAGAAGAAGAAGAAGAAGAAUGCGAAGAAGACACAAGCAAGGAGAGCCUGAGAGGGUAUUUCUUGUUGGGUGAGGAGUGAUAGUACGUAGCCGGUUUUAAUUUGGCAUGUUAAAUAAUUGAGGCUUCACGAACAAUGAAGAAAAGUAACAUGUAAAGCUUCAAUGUUGAGAAUAAUUUUGAUAUAUAAUAAUCUUUAACGAGAAAUUAUUGCAUUCUUCAUCAACACAAGAGGAGGGCCUUUCCUUUUCCCUUUUCUCCUUCAGUGGAACUAGUCUUCGUGUAGAUUGGAAAAACUUACCUCGAUUUCAUGUUGCCUGUGAAUUUCACUAUGUAUUUUAUAUGUUAAAUUCAUUUAAACAAGAAAUACAGAGGAAGUUCAUUAAUU